GUUAAAAAAUAUGUAAAAUUUAUUCGUGUAACACGCGAGACAAUCGCUACCGACCUACUCGAGGAAGAAAAUACGCAAAAAUGAAUCUGAAGUUCUAAACCCUUUCUUCCCUCUCUCAAAAUUUCUCAUUCCCUCGCAGGUUAGUGGUUAUUUUCACUCUCUCAUUCUACCGCAUCUUUGUGGUUCGAUGGAGAACACAACAGCGAUUGCAACUAAUGAAAAUGUGAGCAAUUAUAUUCACGAUGAUAUAACAUUCUCCAUUAUAUCAAAAUUACCUCUUAAAUCUUUUAAGCGAUUUGAAUGUGUUCGUAAAUUGUGGUCUCUCUUAUCUGAAAACCAUCAUUUCAUGAACAUGUUCCGAGAUAAUUUCUUUUCUAAUUUGCAUUCUUGUUCUUAUUAUGACCAAUCAUCUCUAAUCCUAAAGGUUUAUGAACCCCAUCAGGAAGUUUUAUAUUUUCUUUCUGGUCAGAGGUUCGAGAAUAAGGUCAAAUUAGAUUACUCAAAUCCAUCUGCACAUCCAUUUGAUUUUCGUAUUUUUGGUUUUGGUAGUAUUAAUGGCACACUCUGUCUCCAUGAAUAUGAUAAUUAUGGCAAAAUUGUAUUGUGGAAUCCAUCUACCCAAGCAAUCAAAUUCAUUCCUCUCAGUCUUGUUGAGUUAGUUGAGUCGUCUAUCUCGGAUGCUGGUGAGGAUUUAGUUAGUAUAUUGAUGUUUUGUCUUAUCUUCAUGGAUUUGGUUAUGACAGUGUUACAGAUGACUAUAAGGUCAUUCGUUAUGUAUGUUUUGUAUGUAACACCCAUGGACGAGUGAACAAUAUAUUUUUAGACUCUUUAUUGAAAGAUAUCUCUUUAGACUCCUUAUGGGAGAUAUAUAGUCUAAGAAGUAACCCGUGGAGGAAACUUGAUGUUGACAUGCCUUAUUCUUUGGAAUGUAUUGAGGGCACCCAAGUCUACAUGGAUGGAGUGUGUCAUUGGUUGUGUGAAGAUGACUAUGAAUCUUUGCAAGGGCAUGAUAGUCCAUCUGGACCAUGUUUGGUAUCAUUUGACUUGAGCAAUGAUGUAUUCUUCACCACACCUAUACCCUCAGACUUAGAUGGUUGUUUCUAUGUUGGAGAAUCGUGGAUAAACUUGGUUGUGUUAAACGAGUCCAUUGCCUUGAUCUCAUUUCAUGAAAAGACGGCUUUUUUCACAUAUCAAUUUUGGGUGAACUUGCUAUCAAGGAAUCAUGGACCAAACUCGUCAUUGUUGGACCGUUGCAUUGUGUUGAGCGUCCUAUCGAAGUGGGGAUGAAAGGAGAAAUAUUCUUCAUUAGAAAAGAUGGAGAACUAGCUUGGCUUGAUUUAAGUACCAAGAUGAUUGAGGGGCUUGGUUAUAAAGGAGGGGGUCCUACUGCUCGGGUAAUAAUAUACAAGGAAAACAUUCUUCCAAUUGGAGGAAUAAUUAAUUAAUUGUUUUUCUUGUUUUCACCAAGAGGUAUAUGAUUGUGGUUCUUGAGAUAUUACCUUGUAUACAAAGUCCCUUGUCAAGAGGCAGCAUUUUGUGCAUGUGAUGUUGAUGAUUUUCGGCAUGCUGGACCACUUAAGUUGGUAUUUUCUAAUUCUAUGCAGUGGUUGGGCAAUCAAGGCUUGGAAUAGCCUGUUACUUGGUCUGGUUUUUCGCAUCUUAUGCUUUUAUAUGGUCGUGAUACAUUGUAAUUUUAGUGUUUUUGGACUUUCGGUGAUAUGGAACAGAGAUUUUCAUAGAUAAUGUUAGAGAGAACUGAAUUUUGUUCUAUGAUGGAUUUGGGAGUUUUUACUUUUUGCUA